AGAUGAUACAUGUAUUGUUUAGUGUAAUGUCAGAAGAGUGUGAAAAAUGUUGUGAGCUGGAUGAAGAAGAUAAGAUAAGCGAGUGUCUGCAGAACAAGGAUCUUGUUGGAACAGAGUUAUAUGUAAGUAGUUAACCAUUACGCAUGAACUAUACUGCAUUUAUGUAUUAUAUUCCGUACAAAUUAAUCACACAAAUUUGAUGUUAAUGAGAGUUUAC